rnacentral:rRNA from 1 species
UAACCCCGUACCAACGGGAAGAGGGCGGCCGUACCCAACGGUGAGAUUCCAUGACUGGGGUG